rnacentral:rRNA from 1 species
UACAGAGGUCUCAAGCGUUGUUCGGAUUCAUUGGGCGUAAAGGGGUGCGUAGGCGGCGCGGUAAGUCGGGUGUGAAAUCUCGGAGCUUAACUCCGAAACUGCAUUCGAUACUGCCGUGCUUGAGGACUGGAGAGGAGACUGGAAUUUACGGUGUAGCGGUGAAAAUGCGUAGAUAUCGUAAGGAAGACCAGUGGCGAAGGCGGGUCUCUGGACAGUUCCUGACGCUGAGGCACGAAGGCCAGGGGGAGCAAACGGG